rnacentral:lncRNA from 1 species
GGCCUGUCGGGUGAAGCUCGGUUGGGACGUCUGAUGGAGCGAAAUGGCUCUCUAUCUCGUCGAUCUAGGAGAAGCUCGGAUGUUUUCGAGGUUGUGAUGGGUCUACUGUUGUUGGGUGCCUAGAGCACUGAUGCUGCAGGCGGGAACCAUCUACUGUAGGAGCUUGAACGGAGACUUUCUGUUGGAGAAGUCUGGUUUCAUGAAGAAUCUGACAGAGAGUUGACCGGUGGUGGACUUCGGAUGGCGUUGGGGAGG